UCUCAAUUUUUUGGCGGCGCUGAUCAGCGUCUUUCGCACGUCUUUCAAUUACAAUACAUAAUCAUAUUUAACAAUUUUAAUAUUUGUGUGCGCGCAUUUUCUCCUGCCGUGUUCCUUCCUGUGCGUGUCGACGCGUUCCCUUGCAUGUGUGUGUGCAUGGAACGGCGCAUUGUGAAAACUGUAGAGCACAGGACCCAAGCCAGUAAAACUUAAAUCAUAUUUAACAAUUUACGGCAUGGCAUGUGUGUAUAUGCAUGCUGCAGGCGUGUUGUAGUGUAGUAACAUUGUUACUAUCAAAUACUAUCCAGUUUGAUGCUUUUCUUAUGCUUUUCAUUUCCAGAUCAAACACCGUCGCUCGAAACGAUCGCGAAAAUUUGCUUAAGGGAGCAACCUCCAGCUUUAAGUAUCAGACAACAGCAACAAAUCAACGCCUUGUUGACGCACAAGUGACCAAGUGUCGUUGCACCAACAUUUCCACAUUAGCGGUGGCCGUGGUGGCCGUCGUGGUCGUGGUACCCGUGAUGGCCUCUCAUUGUUGCCAAUAGAGAGUUUGAGGCAGAGGCAGGAGAGGUGGUCUCUUAUUUCUGAUCGGGCUUUUGAAAUGAUGCUUGCCGCCCACAAUGGCAAAGUGGGUGCCAUUGCCGAAGUGGGGCGGACACUCUUACGAAGGCUUAGAAGACACAAUAUUGGGCUCGGCCAGAACUGCAACAGACGCAACAGCCGGAGCAGCUACAAGAGGCUCAGCAGCGACAUCAGCCACAGCCGGAGCAGCUACAAUAUCCACAUCAGCUACAACAAGUGCAGCAACAUCUGCAAUAUUCUAUGCGGCAUAUAAUAUAAUAUAUAUACAUAUUAUAUAAUAUAUUUAUAUAAUCAUAUUAUCUGAACAUAUUUAUUGCAACUGCUUGUCAAUUGGGAUAGAUGUUAAGCAAAAUACAAUAUUGAUAUGUACUUGAAAUCCCACUGCAACUUUAUUGCGUUUCUGAAAGGAAUAUACUCGUAAUAAAUUGGAUUUGCUUUUCACAUAUGUAAAAAAAGCGAAUUAAUGCCAAGCGGAGACGGGAAUUUCCGUGCAUAUGUAUGCUCCUAAAUAGAAGCAACAGACAGAAAAUAAGAUUUUAAUGGCAAUUCCAAUAUAUUAACCAUUUAAU